GUGCGGACCCGGCAGGGCCCGGGCGCCGCCGCCGCGGCAGGGAGCACACACGCGCUCGCGCAAGCAGCUAAAUCCAUCAAAGCCCCGCGCCCGGCUCCGCGCCGGGGCUCCGCGCCCCUCCCUCGAGCUUGCCCACCCUCCAGUGCCAGCUGCAAUCCUGCGGCACCGGGUGGGGAGGGAGGAGGCCGCCGCAGAAGCGCCGCCGUCGCCGGCUCGCCUCUCUCGGGCCCCAGCGGCGGCAGCGGGCAGCGCCCAGAGCUGCUGCGCCAAAAAGGGCCAGAGAGCCGGUCCCCGCCCCCGCCCCGGCGCUCCGGCCGCUCUCCACGGUUCGGAUCCAGGGCCCCAGCCUUCCUCUCUCCAUAAAAGGAGGGGGAGUCAGUCUUUGGGGAAGGAGGGGGGCGGGUUUGGGGCACUCACCUGGCGGCUGCCACGCGCCCCCGCCCAGGAUCCGAGGCCUGGGGCAUCUGAAUGAGGACCCUCCACCCACAUUUCCACUUGGGAGCGAGCUCCAGUCGGGGAAAGGGCCUGCAGCCCGCCUCGUCCCCACCCUGGGACCCCGCGCCCCCCAGUCCCCCACUCCCGCGCCGAAGGCAGGGCCGCGCCCUGAGCCGGGAAGUCGAGGGGAUGGAAGGGAAAGGAGCCACCGGUGAGGGUCCCCCGGGUUCUGAGCCUCCCGCGUCGGGAUCCGUGGGGCGCACAGAGCGCCACCUCCGGCCGAGGCGCAGCUCAGAGCGCGAUGCGGGGGAGGAACGCGCGCGGAGGCCGAGGUCUGAGCGUGGCUAGACGGCUCCCACGCCGAGAAAGGGCGGGUGCGCCUGGGCUGGAUGGAUUUCGCCUCCCUAGACCAGGAGGGAUUGGACCCUGACUACAGGUCCAGGUGCUCGUCAGUGCCCUGCCAGGGGGUCUACGCGUCCUGGUACCGGGUCCAGCGGGGUGGCGUGCUGUGCAGACCCCGAGGCUAGACGGCCUAGGCCCCUGGAGCCCAGGAGACGCUUCCUUGGGUGAGCAGCGGAGAAUCCCGCCCGGCCCAGCCGUCACCCCCAACCCUGUCGAUUAAACCCCUGCCCCCGUCGCGGUCGCCCUCCCUCCAGACAAAGGCCGUUAAGGCGCAGCCCCGCGGGCGGUCUUUCAUCCCCAGCUAGGCCAGCUCUAGCAUUUCAAAGGCCGAAUCCGGAGAGCGCUUCGGGGGCUCUCCCCUUCCCCCAAAUAUUUGGGGAGCGACGCCUCUCCCUCCGCUCCCAGUGGGUCGCGUCUACACGCGCCCUUCCACACACCUGCAGGCCCCCUCCCCACGUCUCUCCCUUCCGUUGGCCGCAGCCCCACACCACGACCCCCGCGGUCAAGCAUGCCCUCUGGGUGGUCAGGACCAAGCGGGACCGGGACAGAACCAGGGGAGCCUUGGAAACGUGGAGGAGCCCCUUAAAGCCAGGCCUUGUCCCUCCAGGGGGAACUUGCGGCUUGGGAGGGGACACCCACUGCAUGGCUUCUGGAAAGAGCCGGACUCGCAGGGCCAGGACGCAGGCCGGACCCCGGCCUCAUUCUUCGGCCAGUUAUCCCGGAGUGGCGCGCAUCCUGUCUUCCUGGGCCUCGGACUGCUCGCGCGCAGAGGGGGCCCGAGGACACCUCUGUGGGGUUAGAGGACUCGGUAAGACGGUGUGGAAGGCAAGGAGGAAGGUCGCGUUGUAUUGGGGAUGGGGUACCCGUCCCUCCCAGCUUGAGGGAUCCUGGGGGUCCUCGCCGCCUCUGAGGGCCUAGAUGGCUGCUUCCCUCGGCUCCCCUGCCCGGCCUGGAGCUACGGGUGCGCCCAGCUAGAGUUUAGGGCCACCUGGGGACGUGCAAGGGGCGCUGGAGCGAGGCGGGGGCUGGGGCGGGGCGUGGGUGCUUCACCCGCGGGGGACGCAGAGCUUAGGCGAAAGCGGUGCAGGCAUCUCUCUAAUCGCCGGCCGCUAUUAAAAAUAAAACCGCGACCCGUCGCCAUGGCGACCACAACAACAGCGGCCGCGCGAGGGAGGCGAAAACUUGUGCAGCCGCGCGACAGCCGCCUUCUGGGGAGACUCGGGGCACGACGCACCCGGCGUGGGACUGGGACCCCCCUGCCCGGCCCCGCCACAUUCUCCGCCGGAUCCCCGGAAGACACAAGGAGACGUGGACCCCCACAGGCUUUUUUGGGGGGAUUGGGCGUUGAAACCGCAGGGCUGACUUAACCAAGAGGUCACCGACUUGGAUAAAAAACCCACGCCCGCGCGGACCCCCCUCCCCGGCCUUCGUUUCCAUUCAAACUCCCAGCGUCCUCAUUGCAGCCCCUGGGGAGGGGGACGGAGGGACGAGGUGGGUUUCAGGUGCUCGGCCCAGGAGGGGACGGUGCGACCCGGGCCCCGCCGGCGGGUUUUGCGCGCGGAGGCUGCGGCACCUGCCCCGCCCGCCCUGCCGCGAUCCUUGCAGACGGGGGCGGUCACAUGCUUCUUUCUGGCCAGGAAUCGAGUUUCACUUCCAGCCGCUAUUAGUCGGUUCACACAGUUCACUGCAAACAUUUGAUAAUGAGGCUAAAUAUACUCCCGCGUCGGAGGAGGCGUGGGCGUCCCCGCCCAGGCCCGGGAGACAGAGGCGCUGACCCCGGGACAGAGCCUGGCUUUGUGCGGGAGGCAGACGCGCCCCGCGCGCCGCCCCCGAAACAUUCGCACCCCAUGCUGAGGCGCGCGUCUGGGAGUCCGUGGGCGCCCCGAGCGACGUCGAUGGCGCCAGGUGCCAAGCUCUUUCCUUGUAUAAUUUCAUGGACACUCACGCAUCAACUCUAAGCGAAGACUUGGAGCGGGGCUCAGCACCCCAGGGGUACCUCUGCAACCUCGGUAAAUAUAGACUAUCCUCAAUUCGCAGGGGCAUUUGUACGUGGGGUGUACAGGCAGGAACAGGAAAGACGCUGUGGCCACCCAGGAGUAGGGGCGGCAGCCAACACCCCCUGGAUCCCCAGUUCCAAGGUGCAGGGAGGGGGGCAGAGGCCAGUUCCCUCCGCUCUCUGCCCCUUGACCUUGGCCUUGGUGAGCUCUGUCCCUAGACUGCCCUGGGUGUCUGUUCCCUCAUCUGAAAAGCGUGAGGCCCACAGCCGUCACUGCACACAGCUGCCGUCACUGCACACAGCUGCCUCCACUGUCGGGAAGCCUCCCUCCUGCCCACCUGCCCAGGAAAAGCUGCGCUAGCGUGCCCUGGGCAAGCGCCCUGCUGGCCACCUGCCUGCACCUGGGUUGGGGGUGGGGGGACCAGCUGAGCACCCAAAUCCUGGCCUCUGCCCCCAGCGCCAGAGCAGAUUUCAGAACAAUUUGUAAUGACGAAACCCCACGUUUCCCUUUAUCUCUGGGCAAGGCUUUCUUCGUCCUAGGCAAUUAAUCCAAAAGCAACACCAGCCGAGUGGGCUGGACUCCUUGAAGAUCAAAACUGCCCAGCGCAGGCAUUAAUUAAGUCAUUAUCUCAGGCCCCCAGCGACUAGGGAUCAGGCCUUUCCAGUUCACACUCUCCAGAAAGGGAGAUAACUGCCCCGCCAGCAGGGUGGGAAGGCUCUCUCUCCAUGUUGUUUUAACUCCCUAUUAAAUCAUUUUAUUUUAAAUACACAAACAGAAAUGAAGUUGAAAAUAGCACAGGAGCCCACUAUCACUGUGUGAACAUUUUGUGAAUGAAGACAUGUAUGAAAGGAUGUUUGGAGGCUUCAAGAAACGAAAGCCGAGAGUCUAGCUAGACCAGAGCCAUCCAGCCCAGGAGCGAUGGCCACGUGUGGCCGCUGGACACGAGAGACGUGGCCAGUCCAAACUGUGCAGUGCGGUUGAAAAAAACAUUUUGGAUAUAUGGUGUUAAAUAAACAUGAUUACAAUGACUUUCGCUGUCAGCCUCCCGGAGGCUCAUUUUGCUCCUCUGGGCCACAGCCAGCUCAGAGGGUUGCUCUAGGAAAUAUCUACACGUUCUUGAAGCACAGGUUUAUGUGCCAGGCACUGUACUAAGUGCUGGGGACACGGCGUUAAGACCAGGCCCUCACGGAGCCCUCACUCUCUGAGGAGGAACAAUAAGUCAGAGAGCGCGCGAGUGCAGCCCUUCAGGCAAAGGAUUUCAGGCCCAGGUCAGGAAGGCCUUGUCUGAGGAGUCUGAGAAGAAGUCAAUUGACAACAGCUAGAACAUCUAGGUCAGGCACUCCAGGCCGACACGACAAAGCAGGUGCAAAGGCCCCAGGGCGGGAACCAGCGUGGCUUGUUCACAGAACAAGGAGGUAGAUCGCUUGCCCUUGGGACCAAAGGAAGGCUCUGGAUUUUAUUCUAGGGGCAGUGGAAGCCGUUGGAGGGCCUCAGGCAGGAACACAAGGUGUCGUGGCAGAAAGGAAGAAGGGGCCGGGCACGGUGGCCCACACCCGUCAUCCCAGCACUUUGGGAGGGAGGCCAAGGCAGGAGGAUCGCUUCAAUCCAGGAGUUCAAGAUCAGCCUGGGCAACACAGCAAGACCCCGUCUCUACUAAAACCCUAAAACUUAGCCAGGCUUGGUGGCAUGUGCCUAAGGUCCCAGGUCCUCGGGAGACUAAGGCAGGAGGAUUGCUUAAGCCCAAGAGUUUGAGGCUGCAGUGAACUAUUAUCACACCACUGCACUCAGCCUGGGUGACAGAGUGACUCUGUCUCAAAACUAAAUAAAUAAACAAUAAUUGUGUUAUUCUGUCUCCAUUUCUCGCAUACUGAAUUUAAGGUGGACUCAGCCAGCGGGUUCAGGCCCAGGGUCUGUCCUGCAGCUACAGUCAGGGUUGGUGGCUGCAGCUGUCAUGGGGGAGCGGUGAGGUUGGGGGAACAGGGGGGCUGGCCUGCAUCCCCCACUUUCAGGUGGGCUCAACUCCGUCUCGUGGCCUAUUGGGGGCCAGCAUGGGCUUCCUUACAGCAUGGAGGCCUCCAGGGUCAAGCUGCCUCUGGGAUGGCAGAGGGCUUUGUGUUCGUGCUCCCACGCCCACAGUGGAGGCAAUACACCCUUUCCAGAUCUAGCAGUACAGGUGCGCAGCACCACACCUCUGUACGCUCUCAGCCUAAGCUGUCCCCAGCCCUCCUGGCCUCUGGAGGAGGGGACGCAGAAACUCCAUCCCGGACAGAGGGAGAGCCAGUGUGUGCACAGGCAGCUUCUAACACUGCUUCGUGGUUUCACACGGCUCCCUCAUGGAGAAGGGGCUGGAGGAGGACAGGGAGGUGUGCAGUCAUCUGGGUGACAUAUGAGGGUGGCUGGGCUUCCAGAUGGCUGCAGUGGAGACCGUAAGAAGAGUGCACGAGGUAAGGCUUCCGAAACGCCCAGCAGGUUCCUGGCAGCUGCAGACAACUCAAUUCUUAGCACUUGCCAAUAGCUGGGGUGUAAACACUCCCGCCGUCGCUAUUUCGGGCUAUGCUCCUUGCCUCCACUGGGUCUGGCUCUUAAAACAGCAAGAAAGCAACUCGGAAGCUGAGUCAGCCCCGUCUCUCCACCGUGCCCACAGAUCCUUCCCUGUUCCAGAGCUCCCGUUGGCAGCCAGCUGGGCUUCUCAGGGGGCAUCUCCAGUCCUGUGCAGUCAGAGAAAACCAGGGAAGCAUCUUGAUCUCACCUAGAAAUUAAGGCCAUCACAUCCAACACCUGCAUUUUACAGAAAACCACUGAUGAUGUGCAGGAGAAUCACAGCUGGGAAGAAACACAGGAGGACCUUUUCCUUCAUCACCAACCAUGCCCCCCCCCAGCCUCCACCCCCGCCCCGAGGGAGAGGCCUGGGGAGCACAGGCUACUUUCUGAGCUUCCGGAAGUUGCAGGUCAACCUGGCGGCAAUUUGGCACCAGGAGCCACCAGUGUGGCCGCGGCCCCUGACCCUGUAAUCCCACAUCGGGCACCCAGCCUAAGAAAACGACACGUUUGCUUCAAGGGCUCAGAGCACCAGGAUUUAAAACAGCAACUAGGAACAACCUAAGAUCCUAGGUGCUCCGAGAUCAAGAUGCCAGAAAAUAAAUCAAAUCAAAUCAAAUCCCAGGCGCAAACGGCCCUCGUGUUCUUACCCCUCCUCUCGCUGUUGGAAAUCGCGGCUCCAUUUAUGGGUGGACAGAAAGACAGCCUCCUAGCACCGGGCUUAUAGCUUCCACGCCCUGUUCUUCUCCAAGCCCUCGCCCG
rnacentral:lncRNA from 1 species